GUUUUUAUCGUCAGUUUGGUUUUAAUUAGUUAUUUGAAAAUAUAAAAAGGGGGUUUCACAUCAUGAUUGACAGCUGAGUCCUGCUCGUCACGGUAUAUGGGCGGGACCUCGAUAUCGUGACGCCAACCCCGAUCAGCACUGCACAGACUCUAGCACAGAAUGGAUGGCUGCAGUAGUAUUUAUCAGAGCGACAUCAUCCCCAUGGAAGGAUACGGGGGUCAGAGGAGGCUCAGCAGUGCUGGUUGUUAUUUAUUUUGAAUCCGAGGCAGCGAUCAGCCAGCAGAAUAGAGUCACACUCAGUCAUUAUUUUGGACAUUCCCAGUAAGAGCACUGUGCAGAUGUCUCUGCCACAGCAGCAGCCCCAGCCCCAGCCCAGCGCUAACUACUGACCCCGUUAAACCACACAGUCAGACCAGUCUGGACCCACCCAAACCAGGAGCCAGAGCCAAACCCCAGACUCUGGACAGACCAGAGCGGAGCAGGGCAGAGCCAGGACGUGCCAGGCCAAUAAAAAGCAGCACAUUCCUGUUCGCCAAACUCAGCCUCAAGACUCUUUUUUCCUGAACUCCGACGGCAGCAAACACAGGAGUUUGGAUCAGCCCCCCUCCCCCACCGCCCUCCGAGGUCACGGAGGCUGCAGCCGCAGGGAGAUUGUUGUGGAGCUGGUUGGAGGUUUUGUGGUUUCUGGGUGGGACGACGACUAAAUGUUUCCAUCACACUGACAGCAGUACACAGAUCUUAUACUCACUGUGGCGAGAAUCGAUUUCCCCUGGACCCACCUGAAUGCAGAGAUGCCUAGGUCAUCUGGUUCUCUGGAUCAGAGCUGUGAGGACCUCACUUCUCUUUAGCAUGGUCUUUACCUUCAGUCAUCCUGCAGCCAAUUUGUUCUCUGAAAAAAGCAUAAAAGUAUGAUGUUGUCUAUCUGUAGGGGUUAUUCUGUCAUCCAUGGAUGGACUCAAUAGAAACACUCCACAUACACCAGCACACAAAGGCUUGAAUGGUCUUCACAUUGAGUGUCCUCUCACACGAAUCACCCAACGCCAAUGUUGCAAUGGCAAUUGUUUAAAUAAAGCAUGUUAAGUAUGAUCUUGUCUUUCUGUAUUCAACAUCCAUUUCAGUGACACAUUCAUGAGUUCAGGGGCAACGAUGAGUCUUAUCAUGUCCUUGGAUGCUCAGUGAAGUUUUAACCUCCCGCUGUUUACUUGGACAUAAAGUGUAGUUAGAAACAGGGUUUAUGCACAAAAUAGUCUCUCGGACUGGUUGUGUAUAGAUUACAAUGACCAGGUCCAAGAGUUACAGGUUUCUGGGAGUGUUGAGAGUCUGCAGGUAUUCAGUCACCACAGAAUUGAUCAGUAUCAGCUGCAGACGGGACUGACCAGUUAUUUAUAAUGUGCUGUACACAUUUUAUUAUUCAUAUAAAAAUUUGAUUAAAGCAGUUUUAAUAAAGUAAGAACAAGUAUGUGAGAUUAUUUUGUUCACAUAAAAGAA